UCCGGGCGGACGCCGAGUCCUGCCGCCGUCCGGACGACCGGUCGACAGGAGUGGAUCGGCAGGAGUGGAGGACCCAGGCAAGGCGGGUCGCCGGAACGGACGUCCGUCUGCUCAUCGCAGACGGGCAGAAGCUCCGGCUGGCCCUUGGGGUGAAGCCGCGGCAACGCGGCCGGGCAACUUCGCCAGCCCGAAUCCGACAGGUCAUCCUUCACAGGCGGCUGACGAAGGGUUG
rnacentral:sRNA from 1 species